rfam:Gallionellales bacterium RIFOXYB12_FTLL_54_9 rifoxyb3_full_scaffold_19004, whole genome shotgun sequence.
CAGCGUGUAGCGCAGCCUGGUAGCGCACUACCUUGGGGUGGUAGGGGUCGGAAGUUCGAAUCUUCUCACGCUGA